GGGGACAGGGUACCAAGUGUGUUACCUGGUGAGACAGGGAGGGGACAGGGUACCAGGUGUGUUACCUGGUGAGACAGGGAGGGGACAGGGUACCAGGUGUGUUACCUGGUGAGACAGGGAGGGGACAGGGUACCAGGUGUGUUACCUGGUGAGACAGGGAGGGGACAGGGUACCAGGUGUGUUACCUGGUGAGACAGGGAGGGGACAGGGUACCAGGUGUGUUACCUGGUGAGACAGGGAGGGGACAGGGUACCAGGUGUGUUACCUGGUGAGACAGGGAGGGGACAGGGUCCCAGGUGUGGUAGGGGUGGUGUGUGUGUACGUUGUCUCUCUUCGACACCAUGGCCUGGAUCUCUCUCUCCACGGCUCCUCUGAUCACUGACAACUUCCUGCCAAACCUGAAGGGA
ensembl:lncRNA